CGAAUAUAAGGACAGAAAAUUACUUUCUAUUGUAUAUCCAAGCUAAGUAGCUUCCCUCCCCUCCAACGAAAUCCAUCAUUUGAGAAUAUCUGAGCUUGUUGUGACGAAUAGAAAAUAUAAGGAUAAUCAUCUACAAUUAUAAGCUUACUACAACUAAAAAUUUUAUAUACGCUAUAUGCAGUUUUAUAUAUACUUCUACCUGGAUAAUUGCUCCGUGUUUUUUUCUCUCUUAGCAAAUUAUUUAUUACCUUUGUUUUGUGGUUCUAACCACCUCAGUUAUGUUUAUACUUGUAGGUUAUAACUAUCAAUGACACACAGAAGAAUUGGUUUCGUUGGAGGAACAGGGGCCACUUGAAACAUUAUAGAAAAAUGAACUGUAGGUAUAAAUGAUAUACAAAAGAAUUUAUGACAAAAAUGCUUAUUUUUUCAGCACUACAACAAAUCACAUUUAAGUAACUCCGAUGGGAUGCAUGUUCUGAUUGUUCAAGUUUCAUUCAAUGCUUUCCUUGUUUCCAUCAACAAUAGCCAAAAGAAUAGGUUAAUCACAUGUUCAAAACAUGCUCAUACAUACAAUUUCCACAAAUUUUAAAAUCGAAGUCUUGGCAGUAAAAUAUAUCUAGCGACUUCUAACUGAAUUGGUCACGUGUAAGAUCAUAUUGGAAUCUAUCUCUCAUCUACACCCAUUUGCAAGCACGGUCACAUAGAUACAGAGGCAUUCUCAGACAUAUCUCAUCCUAAAUAAAGUAUCUAACUUUCCACUUGAUUGUGUAUAGAAUUAAAAAACUUAGUGAAUUGGCACAAUGUAUUAUUCUGGAGUUGGUUGCUUAGAUUGUUUCUCAGAUAGAAAUGAAUCUUUGACAUCAUCAUGCGAAUGAUGCAGCUAUUUUAGCAACCAUUAAGGUGUUUCUACAAUUGACCCUUUAGACUUCUCAUGACCGAUGUUCAUCAACAGGUACAUACAAUUUCAUUCUUAAGUAUCAUCUUUAAUUGACGCUGAAAUUUGUUCUAUUUGGUUUUUUCCAUUGAAUUUACUCAUCCAAACUUCAAUUUUCUUCUUCAGAAGUUGAAUAGAGUAUUCUUAUGAUCUGUCUUGCUGUUUUUGCAAUGUUGAAGAUUUACUUGUUGACAUAUCUUAGACUUGUUUCUAAAUCUCUUUUAAGGAGAAGUUCCUAUACACAUCUAGAUCUCAUUGCUUCUUCUGACACAUGAUUAUUGUUUGAGGAACUGCUGAAGGAACACUAUCAUAGUUGGCAAGUCACUGCAUUGUAAAACCGUCAAAUGAUUCUUUUCAGCAUAUCAUUCCAUCCUUUUAUUCUCCAUUUAGUCCUCCUGUAAGUUGCAUGUUGUGAAUCCAAAAAUGCGUGGAUCUUUAAAGAUAUUUUACAAAUUUAAUCUCUACACAGUUUUGAGUCCUGUUAUAAUGGUGCACAUCAGGCCAAGUAUAAUUCUCAAAUCUCGUAUACAAUUAAAUCAAAUUUAGCAAUGUCCUUAUUCUAAAUUCUAAGCUCUUUUGCUUCAGAUAAAGUAUAUCACAUAUGAAGUUUUCUGUUUCAGCUUACCUAUAAAUUAUGUAAUAUCAUUUGCAGUAAACCUUUCUCUGCCAGGUGCUAUUAUGGUCUCGUGCCUAUUGUGGAGCCUGAAAUUCUUCUGGAUGGAGACCACCCAAUUGAGAGGACACUUGAAUUAGCAGAGCGUUAGCAGAGAACAAUACUAUCUUUGAAGUCAUUCUACAUAAACCUUCCAUGGUAGCUCCAAGUGCUGAGGACAAAGAGUAGGCUUUUCCAAAUACCAUUAUCAAAGAUACACUCACCAUGCUCAAAAGGAGAGUGCCUCUGACAGUUCUAGGAAUCAUGGUAUAAAACUCAACCCCCUGUCAAUUAAGUUAAUACUGUGAAUUUGCCCCUCGGGGUAUAGUCCAGUAGUGCAAAGGAUAAGAGUGAGGUUAUCUCAAGCCUUGCUGGCAGCCGCAAUGUGGGGGUUCGAUUCUUGAGACAUGAAAUUGGACUCCUUGUAGGCACAGUGUACAGACAGUUCUUGUUCCCCGACCUGUUGGGGCAUAUUUCGCGAUUUACUUCCUUCACAAAGCCCCGGGGAG
rnacentral:lncRNA from 1 species